rnacentral:lncRNA from 1 species
GCAAUUUAUAUUUAGGGAACAGCCUUCAGCCACUUUUCUUAGAGAGGGGCAGUGUAACCAUCAGACACUAGAAGGCUUCCUGGACUUCUCAGUAUACCAUGCAAUGGCAGCUUUUUGAAGAUCAGUAAUAUGAAGUCUGUCCUAAAGAACACUGAAGGUAUCGCUACUGGAAAACAAUGCCAUUCUCGUAUGGUCCACAAGGAAAAGAAGGAAGGAAUAGUUAUGACCAAACAGUGGGCAAAGAAGCUGGAGCUGGAGGUAAACACUGAAGGAAUGUGGUCAAAGGCAAUUGAAGAUGACCUGGUAGUCUAAAGUGCAACAAGCAAACUAUCCAGUUCUCAAUCACUGAUGUGUGGACUUCACAGAAAAGGGAACAUGGAAAUUGUGGUUCCGAUCUAAACACAAAUCCAGUCAGUUGCCAGUCUAACCUGUUUGGUUAUUUUUAAGUUUUAAAACAUUGCUGAUAAUUAAAACCACAAUGGGCUGCCAGCUCAAAUCCACGAGAUUGGCCAAAAUAAAAGAACUGUACAAUACUAAGUGUUGGCAAG